rnacentral:rRNA from 1 species
UAGGGAAUUUUCCACAAUGGGCGAAAGCCUGAUGGAGCAACGCCGCGUGCAGGAUGAAUGCCUUCGGGUUGUAAACUGCUUUUAUAUGUGACGAUUAUGACUGUAGCAUAUGAAUAAGGAACGGCUAACUCAGUGCCAGCAGCCGCGGUCAUACGGAGGAUCCAAGCGUUAUCCGGAAUUACUGGGCGUAAAGAGUUGCGUAGGUGGCAUAGUAAGUAGAUAGUGAAAGCGUUCGGCUCAACCGGAUAUCCAUUAUCUAAACUGCUAAGCUAGAGGAUGAGAGAGGUUAUUGGAAUUCCCUGUGUAGGAGUGAAAUCCGUAGAUAUAGGGAGGAACACCGAUGGCGUAGGCAGAUAACUGGCUCAUUCCUGACACUAAGGCACGAAAGCGUGGGGAGCAAAC